rnacentral:rRNA from 1 species
GUCCUAGCCAUAAACGAUGUAGACCAGAUGUGGGGUAUCGACCCCUCCGCGUCGACGCUAACGCAUUAAGUCUACCGCCUGGGAGUACGGCCGCAAGGUUGAAACUCAAAGGAAUUGACGGGACCCGCACAAGCGGUGGAGUAUGUGGUUUAAUUCGACGCAACGCGAAAACCUUACUUAGGCUCGAACGACUGGAAGUAAGAUCUAUGAAAAGUGGAGAUGACCUGUAAAAGUCAGGAACCAGCCGAGGUGCUGCAUGGUUGUCGU